GAUGAACGCUGGCUACAGGCUUAACACAUGCAAGUCGAGGGGAAACGACGGGGAAGCUUGCUUCCCCGGGCGUCGACCGGCGCACGGGUGAGUAACGCGUAUCCAACCUGCCUCUGACUGAGGGAUAACCCGUCGAAAGUCGGCCUAAUACCUCAUGGUAUCGUCUGCGGGCAUCCAACGACGAUUAAAGAUUUCAUCGGUCAGGGAUGGGGAUGCGUCUGAUUAGCUUGUUGGCGGGGUAACGGCCCACCAAGGCUACGAUCAGUAGGGGUUCUGAGAGGAAGGUCCCCCACAUUGGAACUGAGACACGGUCCAAACUCCUACGGGAGGCAGCAGUGAGGAAUAUUGGUCAAUGGGCGAGAGCCUGAACCAGUCAAGUAGCGUGCAGGAAGACGGCACUAUGGGUUGUAAACUGCUUUUAUGCGGGGAUAAAGUGAGGGACGUGUCCCUCAUUGCAGGUACCGCAUGAAUAAGGACCGGCUAAUUCCGUG
rnacentral:rRNA from 1 species